AUCUUGGGAAAUUUCAUCGUGAUGGGGAUAGAUCAUUGCAAUUGUUGGUCUUCAACGAGGAAUGCCUAGUAAGCGCGAGUCAUCAGCUCGCGUUGACUACGUCCCUGCCCUUUGUACACACCGCCCGUCGCUCCUACCGAUUGAAUGGUCCGGUGAAGUGUUCGGAUCGCGGCGACGGGGGCGGUUCGNCGCCCCCGACGUCGCGAGAAGUCCAUUGAACCUUAUCAUUUAGAGGAAGGAGAAGUNGUAACAAGGUUUCCGUAGGUGAACCUGCGGAAGGAUCAUUG
rnacentral:rRNA from 1 species